rnacentral:lncRNA from 1 species
GUUUUAGUAGCUGCACAUCUGUGGAUGGCCAUGAGUAAUCAUCUCGCGCUGGUUAGGAUUAGGCUGCUGGAGGGGGCGACCCUCAGGCUUUCAAGUACAACGGACGCACCUUGACCUUGGGACGUGGGGGCCUGCACACCUUCCAUAGAAGAGCAGGGAGCUUAAUAAGGUUUGUCUUCUCCUGAGGAAGUGGAUGCCAUGUGUCACUUUGCAGAUGGAUCAAGUGCAGGAGGUGCCUGUUGGAGACGCAGAGCUCUGCAGCAGCAGGUGAGCUGAUGCUGCAACCUGCUAAACGCCGCUCCUGCGGAGCGCCAGGGCCCAGAGUGCACAUGGCUCUCAGGCUCCGUGAAAAGCUUGCAGUGAGCUCAGCCACUGAAAAGUCACUACGAAGAUGGAAAGCAAAAUGAAAACCGAGUCCUCGACACCGCUUCCUGGAGCUGUUCUGUGCAGAAGUUGAGUGAAGAUACUGCAGCGAGCCCUGGGUCUGAACGCCUGUGUGCUGACUCUAGACCUGCUCCUCAGCCCCAGUUUUCUCUGAAAAACCAGGAUUCUAGCACAACUCGUACCCCCAUUCUUUUCAGUCCUGCACCCACCAGCGAGCCGCAAGGCCCAGGAGCUACUGGCCCUGUUUUCCUGUCUCCAGUACUGGCCUUUGAUUUAUGAGAUGUCCCCUGUCUCCCCUGCUUCUGACCUCCCAGGAUGGCAUUUGGUGAUUUCUUGAUGUUCUCUUGCUUUGGCAUUAAAAUAUGGAUGGGAGUGUCAUUUCCAGAUCUUUUCCAGACCUGUGCAAUUCUUUCCAUUCUUCAUAACAGCCCAUGACCCACCUUCCUCUGUUUCAGCCACAAAGCUAGCCAUGCCUGUGUGCGCACUGCUGUUUCUCAUUGUUAAUAUUUUAACUGUUAUUAAAAAAAAAACUUUCUUUUAAACUGUGUGUGUAUGGUUUUAAAAAUUGACGCACUUCCAGAGCUCUCAACUUCUGCAGUCUUUCUGAGGUCCGUGUUCCUCUUCUUCAGCUGGGAAGCAAAUGCUUGACUU